rnacentral:rRNA from 1 species
GCGAUCCAUUUUCUGCCACCGAAUACAUUAGCAUGGGAUAAUGGAAUAGGACCCUGUCCUCCUAUUUUCAGUUGGUUUUGGCAGCGCGAGGACUAGGGUAAUGAUUAAUAGGGAUAGUUGGGGGCAUUAAUAUUUAAUUGUCAGAGGUGAAAUUCUUGGAUUUAUGAAAGAUUAACUUCUGCGAAAGCAUCUGCCAAGGAUGUUUUCAUUAAUCAAGAACGAAAGUUAGGGGAUCGAAGACGAUCAGAUACCGUCGUAGUCUUAACCAUAAACGAUGCCGACCAGCGAUUAGGAGACGUUGAAUACAAAACACCACCAUCGGCGCGGUCGUCCUUGGCGUCUGUCCCUUUCAACGGGGGCAGGCGCGAGGGCGGUUUAGCCCGGUGGCACCGGUGAAUGACUCCCCUAGCACCUUGUGAGAA